rnacentral:rRNA from 1 species
UAGGGAAUCUUCGGCGAUGGACGGAAGUCUGACCGAGCAACGCCGCGUGAGUGAAGAAGGUUUUCGGAUCGUAAAGCUCUGUUGUAAGAGAAGAACGAGUGUGAGAGUGGAAAGUUCACACUGUGACGGUAUCUUACCAGAAAGGGACGGCUAACUACGUGCCAGCAGCCGCGGUAAUACGUAGGUCCCGAGCGUUGUCCGGAUUUAUUGGGCGUAAAGCGAGCGCAGGCGGUUAGAUAAGUCUGAAGUUAAAGGCUGUGGCUUAACCAUAGUAGGCUUUGGAAACUGUUUAACUUGAGUGCAAGAGGGGAGAGUGGAAUUCCAUGUGUAGCGGUGAAAUGCGUAGAUAUAUGGAGGAACACCGGUGGCGAAAGCGGCUCUCUGGCUUGUAACUGACGCUGAGGCUCGAAAGCGUGGGGAGCAAACAGGAUUAGAUACCCUGGUAGUCCACGCUGUAAACGAUGAGUGCUAGGUGUUAGACCCUUUCCGGGGUUUAGUGCCGUAGCUAACGCAUUAAGCACUCCGCCUGGGGAGUACGACCGCAAGGUUG